UCCGUUCAAAGGACAAUGGUUGGUACAUAGCUGAGCAUCAUGAGCAUCACAGCCACUCAUUGUCUACGACAUAUGGGCAGACAAUACACUGGCCUUCACACGAGCACAUCGACAUUGACAAAAGAGACUUGGUUGAGCAAUUGCGUCAGAACAAUGUGAAUCUAGCCAAAGUAUAUAGCAUCGUCGGAAGGGUUUUUUCGGCUCGAUGGAGAAGGUGCCUUUCACAAAACGAGCUCUGAAGAAUUUGUGUGCUAAAAUCAGUAGAGAGCAAGCAGAAGAUGACGCGAGGAAAACUACGAGGUUUUUGCAGAACUCGGCUCAAGAUAUCCACACUUCACCUAUCGUGUACAAGCGGAACAAAAAGCGUGAAGUAGGUGCGCCAUGCGUUGUAGGACGGCGAGUCGAGGUCGAGGAUGACGGGCACAUGAUCCUUGAUGUGGAGCUCAUUGAGGCGAUCCGAGGUGAACAUGGCGCCGGUAAAGGAGCCGGCGUCGGAGGGUUCGACCUUGGAACGAGACAUGGUGGGGGAUGGGCGUGGCGCGGUUAGGGUUUGGGAGGUGGUGGAGGGAGAAGAUGGCAGCGGCGUAAGGCGGCGCUGCGUGGGAGGGGUAGGGAGGGUGGCGGCUGCGAGGAGGGGGCAGCGGCGGCUUAGGGUUUAGGAGGGGUGUGGCGGCGGCUACGGGAGAGUAGCGGCGACGGCGGGAUUGUGUGAGUUGCGGGGGCUACGGCGGCGGGAGGGAGAGUGCGGCGGCGGCCUAGGGUUGAGGAGGCGCGGUGGCGGCUACAGGGAGGUGCAGCGGCGGCGUCGUAGGGCGGAAGCGAUUGAGAUCGUAGGGUAAACUGAUACCAUGUGGAAAGGUGUAGGAUGCAACUCAUUGUAUUCCAUGGAGUAGGUUACAAUAUAUACACAGGAUGUCUUGCAUGACAAGGAAACUAAUCCUACCAUAUCUCUAGGAGUCAACUAUACAAGGCUAGAGAAGAUAGAAUUAGUAAUACAAGAUAUGUCACGUUCAACAAAAACCAUUUCUGUAACUGGCUGGACUUCAGCGCUGCAAACUUUAGAUCAAAUCUAUUGCCAAGGAUCUUUGCGUAUACUUUUACAAUGGUGGAGAAAUUAAUCCAAAUGUUAAGAGGAGGGUUGCGGCUAGGCCCGAGGGUUACAUGGAAUCGUGACACUGGGAAUUUCAUCCUCUGAUGGCGGAUAAUGCAUACACAACGAGUGUGUUCGCGUUAGAUGUACAUUAAUCUCAAAUUGUCUAAUUCCGGUACUAACUAAUUGUAAUCUUGAUACCAUCUGUUUUGGAGUCCCCCAGCUGAUAUUCCUUGGACUGACAUGGCGAACAUUGAUAGUGUUGCAAACAUGGCAAAUACGGAGCCCGAGCAACAGCCCCACGGCACACGGGUGAUAUGGAUGUGGUGCCAAAUGGUGAACAAGAGACUGUCAAAACGGAACCUGAGCAAACUAUGUUAGCAACCCAAGCCAAUAAUGUGAUGCAAAGUGGAGCCUGAGCGUGGAGUUUACAUACAUGUAAAUGGGGAGGACGCACUCCGUCGCAGGCCAAGAUUUCAGAUUGCUCCGAACGAUAAGGGGAAGGGUCCAAUGGAGGAAAGUGAUCUAGAGUCUUCGGACAGUGAGAAAAGACAUGCCAACCAGGCUUGCUAGGAUAUGUAGGAAGAUGCAAGAGUGUUAAGGCAGCAUGAAAGAGUCCAAUAAAUGAAUGGUAAACCGGCAACAAGGGCUUCCUCCAGUCACAAGUGUGCGAGGUGCGUGUCCGAUGUGGAGCAGAAAGGGUUGAAGGUUUCGAUGCCCCAAUUGCAGCAGUGAGACCUGAAGAUUUACAUGUAGUUGAACCUUACAUCAUUCAUAUGCUCACACAUGCAGCAAGUCCAGCAGCAGGUAUGGUGAAAAAGAGAAAGAGAAUUAGUUUGCACCGAAUACACGAGGCACAUCAUGAUUCUAGUGUGUGUGGUACAAAAAUAUAUAUGUACAUGCUGAGCUGAUACUCCCUCAAAUGUAAAUGAUGAACUGCAGGAGUUGUAGCUGGUAAGUACACAUGAACCUGAGCGUGCAGACAGCAGGAAAAUAAUAAUAAUAAUAACAAAUGCUGUCGUGGGAACUGAUUUUAUUGA